GACGAACGCUGGCGGCGUGCUUAACACAUGCAAGUCGAACGGAAAGGCCCUGCUUUUGUGGGGUGCUCGAGUGGCGAACGGGUGAGUAACACGUGAGUAACCUGCCAUUGACUUUGGGAUAACUUCAGGAAACUGGGUCUAAUACCGGAUAGGAGCUCCUGCUGCAUGGUGGGGGUUGGAAAGUUUCGGCGGUUGGGGAUGGACUCGCGGCUUAUCAGCUUGUUGGUUGGGUGGUGGAUUACCAAGGCUUUGCCGGGUAGCCGGCCUGCGAGGGUGACAGGCCACAUUGGGACUGAGCUACGGCCCAGACUCCUACGGGAGGCAGGAGUGGGGAAUAGUGCACAAUGGGCGGAAGCCUGAUGCAGCAACGCCGCGUGCGGGAUGACGGCCUUGGGGUAGUAAACCGCAUCCGCCUGUGACGAAGCGUGAGUGACGGUAAUGGGUAAAGAAGCACCGGCUAACUACGUG
rnacentral:rRNA from 1 species